rnacentral:rRNA from 1 species
GAUGAACGCUGGCGGCGUGCCUAAUACAUGCAAGUAGAACGCUGAAGGAAGGAGCUUGCUCUUUCCGGAUGUGUUGCGAACGGGUGAGUAACGCGUAGGUAACCUGCCUGGUAGCGGGGGAUAACUAUUGGAAACGAUAGCUAAUACCGCAUAACAGUAGAUGUUGCAUGAUAUCUACUUAAAAGGUGCAAUUGCACCACUACCAGAUGGACCUGCGUUGUAUUAGCUAGUUGGUGAGGUAACGGCUCACCAAGGCGACGAUACAUAGCCGACCUGAGAGGGUGAUCGGCCACACUGGGACUGAGACACGGCCCAGACUCCUACGGGAGGCAGCAGUAGGGAAUCUUCGGCAAUGGACGGAAGUCUGACCGAGCAACGCCGCGUGAGUGAAGAAGGUUUUCGGAUCGUAAAGCUCUGUUGUAAGAGAAGAACGAGUGUGAGAGUGGAAAGUUCACACUGUGACGGUAUCUUACCAGAAAGGGACGGCUAACUACGUG